rfam:Myotis lucifugus cont2.35291, whole genome shotgun sequence.
GGCGGUUCUCAGGUGACACACCCCGGAAUCGGGCUCCCUCCUCUCUGGUUCCAGAGUGCAUCACCCGAGAACUGCC